rnacentral:siRNA from 1 species
UUUUUCAUUUCCAUCUAGAUGAUC